AUGGAGGCGCUGGGCCUCCUGGGCCGCGCGUGCCGCCUCGGCCACUUCCGCCGCCGCAGCACGGCCACUCCUCCCCCUCCCCCUCCUCGCAGCAACAGCAAGCGCUGCAGAGCCGUGCGCGCCGGAGCCAGAGCCGCCUCGUCGUCGGCGCCGCGGGCGAUGGAAGCCAAGCGGGAGGAGCCGAGGGUGGUGACGCUGCGGCCGGUGGAGGCCACGCCGGAGUCCUUCGCGCCCUUCGGGCAGGUCAUCGCCGCCUCCCCCGACGGCGACCAGUUCGGCCCCCACGACGCCCAGCUCGACCUCAGCCGCGGCAUCCCCAGGUUCUACAUCAUGAGAUUGGAGAGCAGGCCGCUCAAGUUCUCGUCCAUCACCCACCACGCCAGCGUCACGCAGUGCCUGGGCUCCAUCGGCGGCCAGGACUGGUACCUCGGCGUGGCCAAGCCUUCCAUCGUUGACGGGGCGACGGAGCAGAGUGGUGGCGGGAGUGCCGUGCAGUCGCGCGCUGGGCAUUUCUAUCUGCCCCCGGACCCGUCCGAGGUCUGCGUCUUCCGUGUCUCCGGUCCGAAAUUUCUCAAGCUGCACGCCGGGACCUGGCACGCCGGGCCGCUGUUCAAGGCAGACGCCGUGGAUUUCUAUAAUCUAGAGCUGAGCAACACCAAUAUCGUGGAUCACACCACGCACUACUUCAAGAAGCACGACGGUGUAGCCUUUGUGAUCGAGGACUGA
rnacentral:rRNA from 1 species